GAUUCUAAAAUUGUUUUGAUGCAUUAUAUAUAAACCUAUGAACCUUAAAGGGGAUUUGCAUGACUAUAGCUUUGAUAAUAUGUUAUAAAUGCUUCCGCUGCUUUUGUAUAUUAAAUUUUAAAUUUGUAUAUGCAUGAUAGUCAUUAUGAAAUCCCAUUCUAGAAUCUCAUAAUUUUCCCUUCAAGUGGUAUCAGAGCCAAUGGUUUAUGUAUAAUGUGUCCUUUUGGAUUUUUUGCAUAUGGGUAUUAAUAUUAUGCAUGACAUAUUUAUUGUUUCAUUCAAAGUAUGUUUGUCUUUUGUUUUUCAAUAGUUGAAAAAUGUUAGUCAAAAGUUGAGAAAGAUAUGUUUGCAAAAGUGUUUUGUAUACAUGAAUGAAAAAUGAGUUUAGAACUAGUUUGACAUAUUAUUUCUUCAUUUAAAAGUAUGUUUGUCUUUUGUAAAUCAAGAGUUGAAAAAGAUAUGCAUGUAAAAGUUGUUUUGUAUGCAUGAAUGAAGAAUAAGUCAUGAACAAAAUUUGGGGUUUUGUUCAAAAGGGUAGGCACGGUUUUGGGGGUUUUUUUUUUUUUUUUUGGGUUGUGUUUGUGUUUUAUUGUAAACCACUCACACAUCCUAUUAAAGCUUAAAAGAAGUGUUCUUGUCACUUUUGUUUUUGGGUUUGAAAAAUCACCAAGAAUGUACAAAUCUUGAAAUUGUGUUCAUGGUUUUGUUCUUGGUGUUCAUGGUUUGGUUUUGGGUGAAAAUAGUUAUAAUUGGUUUUCAUGCAUGGUUUUAUGGUUUUGGAUGAUGUUCUUACCAUCCAUAACCAUAUUAAAAACUUAUAAAACCCUAGACUUGACUAGGAGGAUUUCCAUCACCCAUCUCACCUAAGUUUUAAUGGCAAAACCAAGUGACAAGCAAAAUUUAUUUUUUCUUACAUAAUGUGGCUUUUAAUGCAUGUUGUGUAAGAUUGUGUAAGAGAACUCCCAUCCCCUUAAUGUGGCCGGCCUCCCUAGUGGAUUUAUCCACUUGUGGGGCUAUUUUGUUAAUCUUUAAAAAGUUGAUAUUUUACUUUGAAAUAUUUACGGUUUUACCCCUAACUUUUCAUAUUUACAUUUAGGCCCCUACUAACUAGAAAGUUAAAAUAUUUUAUUUUAAUUUUGUUAGUUGUUUAAACUCAUAAUACUAUUAUGCCCAUAUGCACUAAAUCUAAAUGUUUAUGUUGCAUUCCAUUAUGAUUAUUUAAAUGUGUUUAAGUAGUUAUAAAAUGGGUGACUUUGGACUUAUGCCUUAAACGAUAAUUGAGCUAUAUGACAAGGCGCUAAAAUCAAAUUGUUUGAACCUUGGGAAUGUGUUUUAAUUACUGUUUAAUUGGACCUUGUCACGUUUGACGUUAAUCUUUAUCUCCCCUUUUAGUAUAUGUAAUUUAUAGGAAUUUGUACAAAUCGGUUUGUAAUUCUUAUUACUUCUUAAUCUCUAUUCGUUAGUGGAUUCCCUCUAGUGCUAGACUAGAGUUUCUUUAACUAUUGGUAAGGAGACAUAACUAAAAGAGGGUUUUGACAUGAGAUUAAAGAUUAAAAGGGUCCAAUGCCCAAAUUAGCAAUGUAUGAUUGUCUCAUUUCUAAUGGCUCAAUUAAAAUGGUUUUAAUUGGAUUGAUAAGCACGUAAUUAAAUUGACACAACCUCCCCGAGUUUAUAUUCAACAAUGAUGGCUCGUUGUUGCAAUAACCUAAUAAGUCCAUAGUCAUCCAAGAGCCUAAGAUAACUAUAAAGUCCAAUUUCAAAGGAAUGCAAAAACCUUAGUAGUAGUAGUUACUUCCAAUAUUUGAAAAAAUUUGUUUUUGAUAUUGAUUUGUUUUUCUCAAAACAAAUAGUGGGAGUAUCAUACGCUACUAGACUAUAAUGAAUACAAUUAGUAGUUAUAUAAAUAUCUCCAUAUUUUGAAAAAUGUUUUUGAUAUUGAUUUGUUUUAUGAAAACGAAUAGUGGGGAUAUUAUAUGCUACUAAAUUCAUUAACUUUGGACUAGUAGUUAUAAUAGGACAAUUUAUUUGAUUGUGAUUAAAUAAAUAAAAUUGAUGAGACCUUAAAAUCCCUCAACCAAACAAUAUUAAGUUGUAAACGUAAAAGUGCUUAGAACACUUUUUCGUGGCCUUCCACCGUGGUAGGCUCCAAGCGUUUAUGACUUGUACACCG
rnacentral:lncRNA from 1 species